GGAGAUUUGAAUUCGAGUCUGAGGAUGUUGUCAGACCUAGGCAAAGCCACAUUUUAUCCGCCGUCAUUCAGAUCCAAUUCAUGCCAUCAGAUCUCUCUUCUAUUAUUCUAUUUAUAAAAAACCCAAAAAAAAAAAAACAAAUCAGAUAUCAAAGGUUGAGGCUGAUUGCAUUUGUGAUUUUGUUGCCUCAAACAUGAAGUCAAAGAGAAAGAGGCACUUAUGGUCUUGCGUUUAUGGAGAAAAGGGCUGAGGCGGCUCGCUCCAUCAUGAUUGAGGCAAAGAAAAGGGCUUACAUUAGACGCAAAGAAACAAAGAUGAGGAGAAACAAUAAAGUUACGGUUCCAAUGAUAUUUCUUCCAAUGAAUGUCCUGAUACUAAACUAGUAUCCAAAUUCUUGAAAAAUGCUCAUGAGGACAUAUUGUUCGAGGUAUUUCUUAGACUCCCCAAUUGUCGAUCUGCCAUUCUAUUUGGUUCUAUCUGUCGUCGUUGGCAUUCUGUGAUUUCACACCCUAAAUUUAUUCCGAAUUGCAUUCGCCACCGUCAUGACUUGCAAGAUCGCUACUCAGUACCCUACACCAUCUUAUUUCGAAGAGCCGAUGACCUUUUUUUCGACAUGCAAUGUGUUCAACCAUUUUGUAAGCUAUUCUCUGAGGAAUCAAAGUUUCUCCAUGGAAAGGGAGCAUCUAGUUAUUUGGACUUCAUGCCUUCAUCUGUGGUUAUAAGGGCCUCGUUUGCUGACUUAUUGCUUGUAGCAUCUAGUGGACGUCCUGGCAGAGAUUACUAUAUUUGUAAUCCACUUACAAAACAGUGGUUUAACUUCCUGAGGCUCCUAGAGGCUUUCAAACUGGGUUUGCAUUAGUAUGUAUCCCCAACAUUAGCAACUCACAACUUUGAUUCUCUAUCAACGGUCAUUACGAAUACAAGGUGGUCUUAAUCCAUAGUUCUGCGCAUAUUGGGGAAGAUUGUUUUGCAUUUCGGGCAACAAUUUUUUGUUCUAAAUCAGGAAAAUGGAGCCAGUCACUCUUCUCAUAUCCACGGUCCAAAAAGGUCCGGCGUAGCGAUUACGUUGAUGUUGUUACAUGUAAUGGAAUUCUAUAUUGGCGUGAAAAUAAGUGUUCUUUUGACAGAAUUGUUGCAUUUGAUUUGUUCAAUGAUCAAUGUCGUGUCAUCGACUUUCCUGAUGACUUUUGGUCCGUAUGGCAGAAUUCCUAUGGCAAAGUACACUUGGGAGCUGUAUGUGGAGAGCUGCGGAUGUUACAAGUUUUCAGCUCAAAUGAGGAUUGCUUUGUUAUGAAAGUUUGGGAAUUGAAUUAUUCCACUUCGUGGGAUUUGGUUCAUGAGAUAUACUUGAAAAGGCCGCAUAAGACUAAGAGUAUGGUUGGGCUUGUUGUUCAUCCAGACAACAGUAAUGUGAUUUUUAUGAUAUGGGACAAUCAUAUUUUCCAAUAUAAGAUUAAGGAAGACAUGUAUGAAAAGGUCGACGAGCUUCAAGUAUCUAUCAAUGCAAAGGCCGACUGGCUUUUAGAACAUUUAGAUGGAAAGUUCAAAAAAAUUAAACUAGCUGUAAAUUCACAUGAACGAUUUAGUACCUUCCCUCUCAUGCAUCUUGCAUGGCCAACACCGGUUCCUUCACAUCUUCCGUCUUUUUAGACCUUAUAUUUGGUUUCUUUCUUUCUUUUAUUUAUUUUUUAUAAUGGGCCGUGUAGUGUACUAUUAACCUAUU